rnacentral:lncRNA from 1 species
UUUUAAAACAUUUAAACCAGCUAAAAUUUAUAGGAUAAAAUUGGUUUUAUUUUUAUUUAAAAUUUAAAUCUUUUCAAAUUAAAAAGACUUCAACAUAUUAUGCAUCAAAAAAAAGCAAAGGGUGUAUGUUUUUCAUUUUUUUUAAAAAAAACAUAUAUUAUGCAUCAGAUUUCCCAAAAAGGAGAUGCAACAAAAAGGACAAAAAUAAAAGGGAAAAUUGGC